CAACCUUCCUAGCGACCAGCGUCUCCCCUGCGGAUCGGGCUCUGUAUCCCAGCCACAGUGCCUCUCCAUGGGCUGCUGCUUCAACAAGCACCCCCCUGCCUGCUACUACCCCAUGGACGAGUGCACUAUUGACCGCCACUUUGUCUUCUCUGUGCCCGCCGCCCUCACCGAGCCCCCUCUUUCCCCCACCAUGCUCGUCGCUGCCAGCAACUCUACCUGCAAACCUGAGAGAGUCACUUCUAACUACGCGUUGUUCAAGAUCCCGAUGGACGGCUGCGGGACGCGCAGAGUGGUGGUGGGGAAAACUGUAGUCUAUAUGGUGGAGGUCAUCAACAAGGUUCAAACAAUCAGCCUCAACUAUGGCACCAUCACAAGAGACUCUCCUGUCAGGUUGUUGGUUGAGUGCAGAUUCAUGCCAGGAGCGCUACUGACAGUGAGCUAUGUGGUCAAAAGUCCCUCUCUUGGUCCUGAAAUUCACACGCAGGGGUGUUUGGUGUCCAGCUCAGGAUUUCCAAAGGUAAAUUGCCCUCAUUUCAACACCAACAACUGCUUUUCAACAUCUAAAAAAAUAAUAAUCUCGUGUUUCUUGUUGUGAUGGAAGGAAGAUGAAAUGUAAAAAAUCUUUGUUACAGUAAAAUCCAUAAUUUCAGCUCUUGGAGAACUUGUACUUGGUUUUAAGUGUUUAAAAACUGGCUCAAGAUAAAAUCUCUUUCUACUUUACGCCCAUCUCAUAUGAGAUGCCCAUUACAGCAGCUACUACCCACAGUAUCACCAGCCCAUGCAGAUGUUGCUGGGGAAACCUCUCUAUCUGGAAGUACGGCUCCUCAACUCUCCAGAUCCCAGUUUAGUGCUGCUGGUGCACUACUGCGUGGCCUACCCCCGCUCAGGAAAAGCUGUGUGGGUGCUGCUUUACAACGGAUGUCCCAAUCCUUAUGACCCAGCCCAGCUGCAGGCCGUGUCUAGCCAGCACCCAACUUCUCCCCAGAGCCAGACCCGCCGCUUCACCAUCAGAACCUUCCAGUUCCUUCCCGAUGGUGAGUUCAAGGACCCAGAUGAAGAGAUCUACUUCAUGUGUUCAACUGAAAUCUGCUCGCCACGUGACGGGCCUUGUGUCGAGGGAUGCUUUGGCCAGUGACGUUACGACAUGGAAGACGCUAGAAGUUCGUCAGGAUGAUGUUGUGGUCUCAGAGACAUCACUCGUUUAACUGCCAAUAAAAGCUCUUAAAUAACA